rnacentral:lncRNA from 1 species
UGGUGACCACCCCUGGACUCGGUGACUACAUUUCUGGAGCUAUUCUCUUUGAGGAGACUUUGUACCAGUCGACCACCGAUGGCAGGACCAUGGUGGACUGCCUGAAUGCCAAUGGCAUUAUCCCUGGUAUCAAGGUCGACAAAGGUCUCGUGCCUUUGACCGGAUCCAACAACGAGUCCUGGUGCCAAGGUUUGGAUGGAUUGGCCUCGAGGACUGCUGCCUACUACAAGCAGGGCGCCCGAUUCGCCAAGUGGUGAGUACACUCGGUGACCAUUCCCAGUGAGCUUUUGUGUUAGGUCUUCUAGGUUCAUAUGUUCAAUUUCUGACGCAAUUUAUAUUCCAGGAGGACUGUUGUGAGCAUCCCCAACGGACCCUCGGAGUUGGCCGUCACUGAAGCUGCCUGGGGCCUUGCUCGGUACGCCUCCAUCUGCCAGGACAAUGGCUUGGCACCCAUCGUGGAGCCCGAGAUCCUUUUGGACGGAGACCACGGCAUCGACAGGACCCUGGAGGUUGCCUCCAAGGUGUGGUCCAAGGUGUUCUACUUCUUGGCUGAGAACAACGUGCUCUUUGAGGGUAUCCUUCUGAAGCCCAGCAUGGUCACCCCUGGUGCUGAGUGCAAGGAAAGGGCCACCCCCGAGCAGGUUGCCCAGUACACCUUGAACAUGUUGAAGAGGCGUGUGCCCCCUGCCGUUCCUGGAAUCAUGGUAAUUUUAAAUACUUCUGACCUAUCCUUGGAUUCUGCUAUACCUUGACUUCUGCCUUCAAGUGUGAGACUACCGAUUGCUUGAAACGAUACGUCAUGCAUAGAGGAACUCUAAUCUGUUUCAACUUGCUUGUGCAGUUCUUGUCUGGUGGACAAUCUGAGGUCGAAGCAACUUUGAACUUGAAUGCCAUGAACCAGAGCCCCAACCCAUGGCACGUGUCUUUCUCAUACGCCCGUGCCCUUCAGAACUCUGUCUUGAAGACAUGGAAGGGACAGCCAGAGAAUGUGGAGGCUGCCCAGAGGGCACUCCUUGUGCGUGCUAAGGCUAACUCUUUGGCUCAGUUGGGUAAGUACUCCGCUGAGGGCGAGGCUG